UGCCGAAUCAACUAGCCCUGAAAAUGGAUGGCGCUGAGCGUGACGCUCAUACCCGGCCGUCGGCGGCAGUGAAGUACGCCCCGACGAGUAGGAGGGACGCCGUGGUGAGCAACGAAGCGACGGCCGAGAGGCCGCGCGGAGCCGCCUCGGGCGCAGAUCUUGGUGGUAGUAGCAAAUACUCAAGUGAGAGCCUUGAGGGCCGAGUCGUGGAGAAGGGUUCCAUGUGAACAGCCGUUGCACAUGGGUCAGUCGAUCCUAAGGUCUAGGGUAGUUCCGCUCCGAGCGGCGGCGCGCGCCCACCUCGCCCGUGGGUAAGCGCUCCCUGGCCGAAAGGGAAUCGGGUCAAUAUUCCCGAACCUGAAGGUGGAGCCCGCCGCCAGCAGGCGGUCAGAGCUGUAAAGCUAUGGAGCCCGGAGACGCUGACCGGAGCCCCGGGAAGAGUUGUCUUUUCUUUGUAAGGGGCGCGGCUCCCUGAAACCGGCUGGAUCGGAGAGAGGGACCGCGGCCCCGUAGAGCGCCGCGUCUGGAGCGGCGUCCGGAGUUGCACCGGUCGGCCCUUGAAAAUCCGGGGGACGAGUGUGGACUCUCACCUCAGAUCGUACCCAUAACCGCAGCAGGUCUCCAAGGUGAACAGCCUCUGGUCAAUAGAACAAUGUAGGUAAGGGAAGUCGGCAAGCCGGAUCCGUAACUUCGGGAUAAGGAUUGGCUCUGAGGACUGGGGUCGGUCGGGCCGGGGCUGGAAGCAGGCACGGACCCUCAGCGUGACUGGGCGAGCCCGGUCUUAGGCUCGACUUCACAGGCGGCGCCGAAGGGCUGUGGAACCCGGACUUUGGAUUGGGACCGGCUCGGGGACCGUCCUGGCUGCUCGGAGGUACUCGCGCCGGCGCCUCGGCCGGCG
rnacentral:rRNA from 1 species